UACGAAGGGGGCUAGCGUUGCUCGGAAUCACUGGGCGUAAAGGGCGCGUAGGCGGUCUUUUAAGUCGGGGGGUGAAAGCCUGUGGCUCAACCACAGAAUUGCCUUCGAUACUGGGAGACUUGAGUUCGGAAGAGGUUGGUGGAACUGCGAGUGUAGAGGUGAAAUUCGUAGAUAUUCGCAAGAACACCGGUGGCGAAGGCGGCCAACUGGUCCGACACUGACGCUGAGGCGCGAAAGCGUGGGGAGCAAACAGG
rnacentral:rRNA from 1 species